rnacentral:rRNA from 1 species
GACAUAAACAAUCCUUCGGGUGCGCUUAUGGGCGGCGAGCGGCGGACGGGUGAGUAAUGCCUGGGAAUAUGCCCUGAUGUGGGGGAUAACCAUUGGAAACGAUGGCUAAUACCGCAUAAUCUCUUCGGAGCAAAGAGGGGGACCUUCGGGCCUCUCGCGUCAGGAUUAGCCCAGGUGAGAUUAGCUAGUUGGUGAGGUAAGAGCUCACCAAGGCGACGAUCUCUAGCUGGUCUGAGAGGAUGAUCAGCCACACUGGAACUGAGACACGGUCCAGACUCCUACGGGAGGCAGCAGUGGGGAAUAUUGCACAAUGGGGGAAACCCUGAUGCAGCCAUGCCGCGUGUGUGAAGAAGGCCUUCGGGUUGUAAAGCACUUUCAGUUGUGAGGAAGGCAUAUACGUUAAUAGCGUAUGUGUUUGACGUUAGCAACAGAAGAAGCACCG